ACUAAAUAGAUACCUGGGUAGUCCACGCCCUAAACGAUGUCUACUAGUUGUUGGUGGAGUAAAAUCCAUGAGUAAACGCAGCUAAACGCGUGAAGUAGACCGCCUGGGGAGUACGGUCGCAAGAUUAAAAACUCAAAGGAAUUGACGGGGGCCCGCACAAGCGGUGGAUUAUGUGGAUUAAAUUCGAUGCAACGCGAAAAACCUUACCUGGCCUUGACAUGCCACUAACGAAGCAGAGAUGCAUUAGGUGCCCGUAAGGGAAAGUGGACACAGGUGCUGCAUGGCUGUCGUCAGCUCGUGUCGUGAGAUGUUGGGUUAAGUCCCGCAACGAGCGCAACCCUUGCCAUUAAUUGCCAUCAUUUAGUUGGGCACUUUAAUGGGACUGCCGGUGACAAACCGGAGGAAGGUGGGGAUGACGUCAAGUCCUCAUGGCCCUUAUGGCCAGGGCUUCACACGUAAUACAAUGGUCGGUACAGAGAGUUGCCAACCCGCGAGGGGGAGCUAAUCUCAGAAAGCCGAUCGUAGUCCGGAUUGUUCUCUGC
rnacentral:rRNA from 1 species